rnacentral:rRNA from 1 species
UACGGAGGGGACUAGCGUUGUUCGGAAUUACUGGGCGUAAAGCGUACGUAGGCGGAUUAGUUAGUCAGAGGUGAAAUCCCAGGGCUCAACCCUGGAACUGCCUUUGAUACUGCUAGUCUUGAGUUCGAGAGAGGUGAGUGGAAUUCCGAGUGUAGAGGUGAAAUUCGUAGAUAUUCGGAGGAACACCAGUGGCGAAGGCGGCUCACUGGCUCGAUACUGACGCUGAGGUA